GAUGGAAGCUUGCUUCUAUCAAUCUUAGUGGCGAACGGGUGAGUAACGCGUAAUCAACCUGCCCUUCAGAGGGGGACAACAGUUGGAAACGACUGCUAAUACCGCAUACGAUCUGACCUCGGCAUCGAGGAUAGAUGAAAGGUGGCCUCUAUUUAUAAGCUAUCGCUGAAGGAGGGGACUGCGUCUGAUUAGCUAGUUGGAGGGGUAACGGCCCACCAAGGCGAUGAUCAGUAGCCGGUCUGAGAGGAUGAACGGCCACAUUGGGACUGAGACACGGCCCAGACUCCUACGGGAGGCAGCAGUGGGGAAUCUUCCGCAAUGGACGAAAGUCUGACGGAGCAACGCCGCGUGAGUGAUGACGGCCUUCGGGUUGUAAAGCUCUGUUAAUCGGGACGAAAGGCCUUCUUGCGAAUAGUUAGAAGGAUUGACGGUACCGGAAUAGAAAGCCACGGCUAACUACGUGCCAGCAGCCGCGGUAAUACGUAGGUGGCAAGCGUUGUCCGGAAUUAUUGGGCGUAAAGCGCGCGCAGGCGGAUUGGUCAGUCUGUCUUAAAAGUUCGGGGCUUAACCCCGUGAUGGGAUGGAAACUGCCAAUCUAGAGUAUCGGAGAGGAAAGUGGAAUUCCUAGUGUAGCGGUGAAAUGCGUAGAUAUUAGGAAGAUACACCAGUGGCGAAGGCGACUUUCUGGACGAAAACUGACGCUGAGGCGCGAAAGCCAGGGGAGCGAACGGGAUUAGAUACCCCGGUA
rnacentral:rRNA from 1 species